rnacentral:rRNA from 1 species
UUCCGGUUGAUCCUGCCGGACCUCACUGCUAUCGGGAUGAGACUAAGCUAUGCAAGUCAUAAUGCGAGGACGCGGCGUACGGCUCAGUAAUACGUGGCUAACUUACCCUUGGGACAGGGACAACCCCGGGAAACUGGGGCUAAUCCAUGAUAGGUGAAUAUGCCUGGAAUGGUUUUUCGCUCAAAGGGCUCGAUCCCCAAGGAUAGGGUCACGUCCGAUCAGGUUGUUGGUGGGGUAAUGGCCCACCAAGCCGAUAACCGGUACGGGCCCUGAGAGGGGGAGCCCGGAGAUGGGAACUGAGACAAGGUCCCAGGCCCUACGGGGCGCAGCAAGCGCGAAACCUCCGCAAUACGCGAAAGCGUGACGGGGUUAUCCCGAGUGCCGUCCGCUGAGGGCGGCUUUUCCUCGGUGUAACUAGCCGAGAGAAUAAGGGGAGGGCAAGUUCUGGUGUCAGCCGCCGCGGUAAUACCAGCUCCCCGAGUGGUGAGGAUGAUUAUUGGGCCUAAAGCGUCCGUAGCCGGUUUGGUAAGUCUCCCGUCAAAUCUGCCGAUUCAAUCGGCAGGCCGCGGGAAAUACUGCUAGACUAGGAGGCGGGAGAGGCCGGCGGUAGUCCCGGGGUAGGGGUAAAAUCCUGUAAUCCCGGGAGGACCACCAGUGGCGAAGGCGGCCGGCCAGAACGCGCUCGACGGUGAGGGACGAAAGCUGGGGGAGCGAACCGGAUUAGAUACCCGGGUAGUCCCAGCCGUAAACGAUGCGGGCUAGGUGUUGGGACGGCUACGUGCCGUUUCAGUGCCGCAGGGAAGCUGUUAAGCCCGCCGCCUGGGGAGUACGGCCGCAAGGCUGAAACUUAAAGGAAUUGGCGGGGGAGCACCACAAGGGGUGAAGCCUGCGGUUCAAUUGGAUUCAACGCCGGA